AUACGGAGGGUGCAAGCGUUAUCCGGAUUCAUUGGGUUUAAAGGGUACGUAGGCGGAUAGAUAAGUUAGUGGUGAAAUCCCGAAGCUCAACUUCGGGACUGCCAUUAAAACUGUCUAUCUUGAAUUUGGUUGAAGUGGGCGGAAUAUGACAUGUAGCGGUGAAAUGCAUAGAUAUGUCAUGGAACACCGAUAGUGAAGACAGCUCACUAAGCCAAUAUUGACGCUGAGGUACGAAAGCAUGGGUAGCGAACAGGAUUAGAUACCCCAGUAGUCC
rnacentral:rRNA from 1 species